GGUGCUCUGCGUAUAGUAGGUAAUUAUUUCAUUUUUUUCUUAAUUUCUAAUUUGCUUGGAAUUUAUAGGUAUUUUGCACAAUUUUCUCGCUGCUAUUGCACGAUUGCUUGCCUUUGUUGUAUUCUUUUCUUUUUUUCAAGUUUCCUCAUAGACGACGACCAAAGCAAGAGAUGUGCUUCUGUUUAUUUAUUAUGUGUGUGAGUGUAUGAUUGUUGAUAUUGUUGUUGUUGCUGUAGUAAUAGUAUCACAAUUGGGAACACAAGGCACACACGGGGUCGGUCGGUCGUUCGCUUUGAAAACGCGGAGAAGAACGAAGGGAGAGCCUACAAGCAAACAAGUAAGAAAUAGAAGAAACGACACUCGAAAUUAAAAACACGUCACGUUUGUAAGUCGGAACAUUUAGCACUGUUGUUGUGUGGUUGUAGUUGCUGUUAAGUCAGUGCCUUAGACACCGUAACCAACAGCCGUCAACAAAACAACAAACAUACAAACGAACGAACAUUCACGACCGAACGGCCACCGACACACAACAUUUAUUGUUGUCGUCGUCGUCGUCGUCGUCAACCACGACCAACAAGAACAACAGAAAAAGGAGAGCUCAGAGCGCAGCACUUUAAUAUUUUAUUGUGUUGUAGCUGGCUGUUGUUAUUUUUUUUAUUCGUUACUCUUAAAGGUAAUAAAGUCCAUAUAUAAACCCCGAAAAAGCACACACAACAAAUGGAAAAAGCAGAAGCAAAAAAUAAUACACUUUAAUAAUUGACGUUGGAUCGUUGUCGGUCGGUCGGUCGGUCUGUUGUUUAGUUGCAUGGUUGGUUACUUGGAUUGUUGGACUGCUAGCAGGCAGGCUAGCUGACUGACUCUGGGCUUUGCGCCUUAGUGAACAAUAAUUGUAUGGACUUACUUCCAUACGUUAAGAGAUGUAUGUAGAUAUGUAUCAUACAUUUGGUUUGUGUCGAAUGUCGUGGUCGCAACUGAAACUGAACAAGAAAAAAAAACAACACAAACAUACCUUCAUACACUCAUCUAUAACAAAUCGACAGACGGACGGAAGGACUGACUUAAAGACAAACUAACGUGCAAGCGGUGAGGCGGUCGAAUAAACGUUUGGUUCCUUGUGUAGUAUGUAUGUAGUUCUUGUUUGAUUUGAGAGGAGCGAGCAAGCAGUAAGCCUUCUACUCGAAUAAUUGUGGGCGCUGCUGUUGUUGAUUUUUUAAAGUUUAAAAUUCAAACAGAUACAACAUUAUUUGAACAAAAGACUUUGGAGGUGAUGAGGAUGAUGAUGAAAACGAAGCAGAAAAAGUAUAACGCAGCGCACUCGCAAAUUUAAGUGUGCUGUUAUUUAUGCCAGUUUUGGGUGUAGUGGAUACGAUACGAUAGGUAUGUAGGUAGGUAGGUAGCUAGCCAGCUAGAUACAUACAUACAUUGUACUAGGUAAAUGUAUCUAAAGAAUGACAGAAAAAAAAUGAAGAUAUUUUUGCAAUGUGUGGCUGUCUCUCUCUCUUAUUUUAGACCAUAACACGACUCUUGAUCAAGCGACUCAACACAACACUACAAUUGUGAUUAUAAAUAGGCAAAUGCAAUAACAACAAGAAGAAAAAAAUAUAACUGCGAAUCAACGAAGCUAAUCAAAAACGAAAUACGGCUGUUUAAAUGAUGUGCUGACCAUACAGGCAGUCAAACGACCGACGAUUGACUGACUAACUAACUGGACGACUAAACCGAUCAACUGUUCAUCGCACCAUAAAAUCAUACACGUACACAUUCACAUUUGUACCAUCAGGCAAGCAACCAACAAACCAACUGACUGAUAGACUGAUUGUCUUAUUGACGUUUAUAGGUCUGACUUUCGGUCUGUCUGCUUAUGCCAUCAGACUGGCGCGUGUGUUCGUACGUUUGUUGCUUUGAUUGCUUGCUGGUUACUUUUCUUCUUAAGCUUUUUAUUUAUUAUUUGUUAAAUAUCUGUGUUUCCGAUUCGUUAUGGUUUAACUGCACAACAAACAACUAAAACUCUCGAGCACCACAUCACAUCGCCACCUAUAACGACGACAACCACCGAAAAAAAUUAAAUACUCGUUGUUUAGAUGCCAUCGUAGGUCGUCGUUGUCGUCGUCACCGACAACAGCCUCCUCACUCAUCGCUCGCCUCUUCGGAGGCAUCGCAGCCAACAACAACAAGAACUGUAACAGCAACAACAACAUCAUCGUCGUCGUCAUCAUCAUCAUCCGUGUAAAAACUAAAUAAAAAAGUGAGUGAUUGCGCCCGCCUAUUAUGCGAUUUUUGUUUCGGUUAAGUUGAGCUUCUUUUGCAAAUGCUUACUUUCGCGUAUAAAACAACAGCAACACCAACAACAGAGGCAGCAGCAUCGACGAUAACACCGAUGACGACGAGUGCGAGGCAGAACCAAAAAAUACACCCAAGAAGAAACACUUUGCACUACUACGGCAACGACUGCGGCGGCGACCGUAAUACUCACACGCACACAAACAAAUGCAAAAGCACACUGGCUGAGGAGAAUAAGAAAAAAUGCAGAGACCCCCAAAAUGACAGAGCAACCAACCAUCUAACCGACAGAACGAAAAACUUUUUUCUUUUUUUUUUUCAACAGCCAACGAAGAAGUGUAGAUAGAUGAUGUAGGGAACACAACAAAGCAAGCAAAAAAACAAUACCAAAAAAAACACAAACAACAAUUUAAUGUUGUUGCUUUCCUCCUUCUGACGAUGGGCUGAUUCCCACACUCACUCCUCGUUUACACAUACCCGAAAUACCGACGACGCGAUGGAGAUGAAUAUGUACUUAUGCAUACAUAUUUAUUUGUAGUAAUGACGCAAAAAUUGUUUAAAAACACACAGAAAAACAAAUUCACACAAAACCACACGGUCUCAUGCUCUCAG
rnacentral:sRNA from 1 species